rnacentral:rRNA from 1 species
UCCAGACUCCUACGGGAGGCAGCAGUGGGGAAUAUUGCACAAUGGGGGAAACCCUGAUGCAGCGACGCCGCGUGGGCGACGAAGCGCUCCGGCGCGUAAAGCCCUGUCAGCAGGGAAGAACAAAGACAGUACCUGACCAAGAAGCCCCGGCUAACUACGUGCCAGCAGCCGCGGUAAUACGUAGGGGGCAAGCGUUAUCCGGAUUCACUGGGCGUAAAGGGAGCGCAGGCGGCACGGCAAGUCUGGUGUGAAAGCCCGGGGCCCAACCCCGGGACUGCAUUGGAAACUGCCGGGCUGGAGUGCCGGAGGGGUAAGCGGAAUUCCUGGUGUAGCGGUGAAAUGCGUAGAUAUCAGGAGGAACAUCGGUGGCGAAAGCGCUUUACUGGACCAUUAUUGACGCUGAGGAACGAAAGCCAGGGGAGCAAAUGGGAUUAGAUACCCGCGUAU